AACUGAAGAGUUUGAUCAUGGCUCAGAUUGAACGCUGGCGGCAGGCUUAACACAUGCAAGUCGAGCGGGGGAAGGUAGCUUGCUACUGGACCUAGCGGCGGACGGGUGAGUAAUGCUUAGGAAUCUGCCUAUUAGUGGGGGACAACAUCUCGAAAGGGAUGCUAAUACCGCAUACGUCCUACGGGAGAAAGCAGGGGAUCUUCGGACCUUGCGCUAAUAGAUGAGCCUAAGUCGGAUUAGCUAGUUGGUGGGGUAAAGGACC
rnacentral:rRNA from 1 species